UGGGGAAUAUUGGACAAUGGGGGGAACCCUGAUCCAGCCAUGCCGCGUGUGUGAAGAAGGCCUUCUGGUUGUAAAGCACUUUAAGCGAGGAGGAGGCUCUCUUGGUUAAUACCCAAGAUGAGUGGACGUUACUCGCAGAAUAAGCACCGGCUAACUCUGUGCCAGCAGCCGCGGUAAUACAGAGGGUGCGAGCGUUAAUCGGAUUUACUGGGCGUAAAGCGUGCGUAGGCGGCUUUUUAAGUCGGAUGUGAAAUCCCCGAGCUUAACUUGGGAAUUGCAUUCGAUACUGGGAAGCUAGAGUAUGGGAGAGGAUGGUAGAAUUCCAGGUGUAGCGGUGAAAUGCGUAGAGAUCUGGAGGAAUACCGAUGGCGAAAGCAGCCAUCUGGCCUAAUACUGACGCUGAGGUACGAAAGCAUGGGGAGCAAACAGG
rnacentral:rRNA from 1 species